GCCAUCGGCCAUACCAUGCUGAAUACGCCGAUCACCGAAGCUAAGCAGCAUCGGGCUCCGUCAGUACUUGGGAGGGUGACCACCUGGGAACACGGAGUGCUGAUGGCA
rnacentral:rRNA from 2 species